AGUGAACGCUGGCGGUAGGCCUAACACAUGCAAGUCGAACGGCAGCACAGUAAGAGCUUGCUCUUACGGGUGGCGAGUGGCGGACGGGUGAGGAAUACAUCGGAAUCUACUUUUUCGUGGGGGAUAACGUAGGGAAACUUACGCUAAUACCGCAUACGACCUACGGGUGAAAGCAGGGGAUCUUCGGACCUUGCGCGAUUGAAUGAGCCGAUGUCGGAUUAGCUAGUUGGCGGGGUAAAGGCCCACCAAGGCGACGAUCCGUAGCUGGUCUGAGAGGAUGAUCAGCCACACUGGAACUGAGACACGGUCCAGACCCCUACGGGAGGCAGCAGUGGGGAAUAUUGGACAAUGGCGCAAGCCUGAUCCAGCCAUACCGCGUGGGUGAAGAAGGCCUUCGGGUUGUAAAGCCCUUUUGUUGGGAAAGAAAAGCAGCAGGUUAAUACCCCGCUGUUCUGACGGUACCCAAAGAAUAAGCACCGGCUAACUUCGUG
rnacentral:rRNA from 1 species